UUACGUGCUUUUCUUUCAUUUUCAUCAUCCCAUUUUCCGCGUGUCCAUUCUUAUAUAAAUAGCUCGUGUUCUUCUUGUUGCUGGGUCUUCUUGAAUCUCGAUUCUUUUUGUGAUUUCUUCUCGAGCUUGUGGAUCCUGGUCAGAUGCUGUUUCUUUUGGGGGUUCUGGAGCUGAGCGAUCUGGUUACGUGAUCGCGAGUUUGGAUUUUGCUCUCAUUUUGUGUGUGUGUGUCCUUUGUUUUUUAAAUUUCUUUCUCGUUUCCUUUGCGUGUCUCUUGCAGGCUCUGCCGAAUCAGCAGGCUGUCGAUUGCCCGAGCUUCCAGCUUGUCAUCAUCGGCGAUGCUGGCACAGGAUUUACCAUUCGAAGUGGCGGACAGAAUGUUUUUACACAAUUUCUGGGGAUUUGUCUGAAAUCGAAGGGUGUCAGACGAAAAGUGGUUUUGCGAUCUUCUUCACUUGUCACGAUGUAGAAGCCAUGAGGUGUAUCUUUUCUUUCUGGCGCCGAGCAAGGGAUAGCAGGCUUGGCGUAGUCCGUUCCUUCGUGCAGGCAAAAUGACUUUUGUGUGCAAGGAGGGGAUGCCGAUGGCAGGGCCAGUAUUGGAGUGAAGUCGUAACUAGUAGAGGUGUCAGCAACUGAACCGAAAAUCCAUAUGAACCGAACCUAAAAAUUUGAAUUCAAUUUUUCGGUUCGAUUUUCAUUAAAAAUUAAUAUUUAUUUUAUUGAUUCGAUUUUUAUCGGUUAACCGAACGGAACCACGAACAAAAUCAAACCAUCAGUUUUAUUCUCUCCCGACUCCCGUCUCCUCUCCUCUCGUGUCUCAUCUUGGUCGGCUUGGAGGUGCGACGGCGACGGCGACGGCGACCGAUUGAGGGACAGAGCCCCUUUCUUCUGCAAGUCUCUCCUUCGUCCUCUUCCUUUUGUAGCGCAAAUUGUCGAGUUUUGCGACGCGUGGUGCCCUCUGCCCUCCUCCUCGUAAGCUCCACAGGUGGUCCGAUGCUUCUGCGAAUUGCUCCCACGGUGGUGGCAUUGCGGGUCUUGGUUUCGGAACCGAAAGCGAUUUGCCUCUUUGAAGGGAAUCGGUGACUGCACGAAACUGGAAUUCUAUCUUGUCACUUACGAUGAAAUUGGGGGAAUUGCCUGCUGAAGGUUUGGGGAACCAGCAGACCGUUUUUCUGGUUGUGCCCCAGUUUUUUGGACAUCGAAAGCAACGUUUAUUGAGCCACCUUUUGCUCAAGAGGAGGUGAUCAUGUACGACAGUUGCAUGCACCUUCACCCCAUUGAUGAAGAAAAUUCUAUGUUCGGGGAGCUUCCAAUGGAAAAUGAGCGGGUCACUCGCAUCCUGUACAUAAAUUCAAGUUAUGACUUGCUAAUUCCUGAUUUAGCUGGGACUCCAGCAACUGACAGGCGUAACGGGGGAAGGAUCUGCAAGUAUAGAGACGGUACAUUUGGGUUCGGGUUUCUUCAGGACAAUUUUAUUAUAGACCUGAAGCACAUAGCCCCGAAUGGUUGUCUUCUUCACUAGGUUAAGCUUUGUGAUAAUUGAUUUGGUCUUCUGGAUUCAUUCUGUACAUAUUAGAAUCUUAGGAAAGAAGAGCCAUAUAUCCAGUAUGGCACUGGCGUCAUGUUCUUUUGCUUUAGACCUGCGGCUCCACCUUGUUGGCCGCUUUGUAACAUAGUUUAUCGUUGAAAUGAUGGCAUCUGUUCCAAAGUUUUAUUGAAUUCUGGCGAUUCUUCUUUUGACCCA